rnacentral:rRNA from 1 species
AGCGAACGUUAGCGGCGCGCCUAACACAUGCAAGUCGCACGAGAAAGGGGGCAACCCCCGGUACAGUGGCGCACGGGUGAGUAACACGUGGGUGAUCUGCCCAGAAGAAGGGGAUAACCUCUCGAAAGGGGGGCUAAUACCGCAUAGGACCACCGGGGCUUUGGCUCUGUGGUGAAAGGGGGCCUCUGUUUACAAGCUCCUGCUUCUGGAUGAGCCCGCGUCCCAUCAGCUAGUUGGUAGGGUAAUGGCCUACCAAGGCUACGACGGGUAGCUGGGCGAAGAGGAGGGCCAGCCACACUGGAACUGAGACACGGUCCAGACUCCUACGGGAGGCAGCAGUGGGGAAUCUUGCGCAAUGGGCGAAAGCCUGACGCAGCGACGCCGCGUGGGUGACGAAGGCCUUCGGGUUGUAAAGCCCUGUGGGGUAGAACGAACUGGCAUCGGGCUAAUAUCCCGGUGUCUUGACGGUACUGCCUUAGCAAGCAUCGGCUAACUCUGUGCCAGCCGCCGCCGUAAGAC